rnacentral:rRNA from 1 species
CCUACGGGCGGCUGCAGUGGGGAAUAUUGGACAAUGGGCGAAAGCCUGAUCCAGCCAUGCCGCGUGUGUGAAGAAGGCCUUCGGGUUGUAGAGCACUUUCAGUGGGGAAGAAAGCCUUGGGGCUAAUACCCUCGAGGAAGGACAUCACCCACAGAAGAAGCACCGGCUAACUCCGUGCCAGCAGCCGCGGUAAUACGGAGGGUGCGAGCGUUAAUCGGAAUUACUGGGCGUAAAGCGCGCGUAGGCGGUCUGAUAAGCCGGUUGUGAAAGCCCCGGGCUCAACCUGGGAACGGCAUCCGGAACUGUCAGGCUAGAGUGCAGGAGAGGAAGGUAGAAUUCCCGGUGUAGCGGUGAAAUGCGUAGAGAUCGGGAGGAAUACCAGUGGCGAAGGCGGCCUUCUGGACUGACACUGACGCUGAGGUGCGAAAGCGUGGGUAGCAAACAGGAUUAGAUACCCCUGUAGUC